rnacentral:rRNA from 1 species
GGAACUCUGGCGAGACUGCCCCGGUCAACGGGGAGGAAGGUGGGGAUGACGUCAAGUCCUCAUGGCCCUUAUAUCCAGGGCUACACACGUGCUACAAUGGUAGGUACAAAGGGCAGCGACUUUGCAAAAAGAAGCGAAUCCCAAAAGCCUAUCCCAGUCCGGAUUGGGGUCUGCAACUCGACCCCAUGAAGUUGGAAUCGCUAGUAAUCGCGGAUCAGCAUGCCGCGGUGAAUAUGUUCCCGGGCCUUGUACACACCGCCCGUCACACCAUGGAAGUUGAUUAUACCCG